rnacentral:rRNA from 1 species
GACGAACGCUGGCGGCGUGCUUAACACAUGCAAGUCGAACGGAAAGACCCUGCUUUUGCGUGUUUCUCGUGUGGCGAACGGGUGAGUAACACGUGAGUAACCUGUCCCUGUCUUUGGGAUAACUCUACGAAACAGGGGCUAAUACCGGAUAGGAGCUCUUGCUCCGUGGUGUGGAUUGGAAAGAUACGGCGGUUGUGGAUGGACUCGCAGCUUACCCGCUUGUUUGUCGAGUAGUUGCUUACCAAGGCUUUGACGGGUAGCCGGCCUGAGAGGGUGAACGGCGACAUUGGGACUGAGAUACGGAGCAGACUCCUACGGGAGGCAAUAGUGGGGAGUAUUGCACAAUGGGCGGACGCCUGAUACAGAAACGCCGCGUGCGGGAUGACGGCCUUCGGGGUGUAAACAGCUUUCGCCUGUGACGAAGCGUGCGUGACGGUAAUGAGUCAAGAAGCAACGGCUAACUACGUG